UACGUAGGGGGCAAGCGUUGUCCGGAUUUAUUGGGCGUAAAGAGCGUGUAGGCGGCUUGGUAGGUCCGCUGUGAAAACUCGAGGCUCAACCUCGAGAUGUCGGCGGAAACCACUUGGCUAGAGUCCGGAAGAGGCGAGUGGAAUUCCUGGUGUAGCGGUGAAAUGCGCAGAUAUCAGGAGGAACACCAAUUGCGAAGGCAGCUCGCUGGGACGUUACUGACGCUGAGACGCGAAAGCGUGGGGGAGCAAACAGG
rnacentral:rRNA from 1 species